UACGUAGGGUGCAAGCGUUGUCCGGAAUUAUUGGGCGUAAAGAGCUCGUAGGCGGUUCGUCGCGUCGGCUGUGAAAACCCGGAGCUCAACCCCAGGUCUGCAGUGGAUACGGGCAGGCUAGAGUCAGGUAGGGGAGAACGGAAUUCCUGGUGUAGCGGUGAAAUGCGCAGAUAUCAGGAGGAACACCGGUGGCGAAGGCGGUUCUCUGGGCCUGUACUGACGCUGAGGAACGAAAGCGUGGGGAGCGAACAGG
rnacentral:rRNA from 1 species